CCUACGGGAGGCAGCAGUGGGGAAUUUUGGGCAAUGGGGGCAACCCUGACCCAGCAACGCCGCGUGGAGGAUGAAGGUUUUCGGGUCGUAAACUCCUGUCUGGAGGGACGAAUAAAGUGACGGUACCUCUGGAGGAAGCCCCGGCUAACUCCGUGCCAGCAGCCGCGGUAAUACGGGGGGGGCAAGCGUUGUUCGGAAUUACUGGGCGUAAAGGGCGCGUAGGCGGCACAGGAAGUCAUGGGUGAAAUCCCUCGGCUUAACCGGGGAAUGGCCUGUGAAACCACUGUGCUAGAGUGCUGGAGAGGAAAGUGGAGUUCCUAGUGUAGCGGUGAAAUGCGUAGAUAUUAGGAGGAACACCUGAGGCGAAGGCGGCUUUCUGGACAGACACUGACGCUGAGGCGCGAAAGCCAGGGGAGCAAACGGGAUUAGAUACCCCGGUAGUCCUGGCUGUAAACGAUGAGCACUUGGUGUAGGGGGUGCACUCAGUCCCUCUGUGCCGAAGAAAACUCGGUAAGUGCUCCGCCUGGGGAGUACGGCCGCAAGGCUGAAACUCAAAGGAAUGACGGAAUCGUCGACUGCAGGAAAACAGCC
rnacentral:rRNA from 1 species